UGGUUGGCGGUUCUCCCCUCCGAUGUUAUCAUUGUCACCAUUUUUGAAAACCAUCACCAUGUUAAGCCUUGCAGCCUAAUAAAUCUCAAAAUGCCUGAAGGCCACAUCACCAUUCCCAUGUGUAUUCUCUUUUAAAUCUUCAUAGCUGAUAAGUUCCAAAAGAUCCAACGGCCACAUCUGCUCAGCACCCUGGUGGUAUUCCA
rnacentral:lncRNA from 1 species